rnacentral:lncRNA from 1 species
UCCAAGAAGCAGCCAGAACAUUUUAUUUUAUGAAAAUUCUACAACAGUAAAAACGGUUUUAAAAAGCCAAGAGCAAUUAUGAAGACACUGGGGCCUGGUAAGAGUCUGCAAGUGGUACCAGAGAUUGAGAAUCAGUCACAGGGUUCAUAGGAGUGAGGAGUGCUAAGAUCUGGCUAGAACGAGGGCCAGAAGAACCAAGUGUAUUAGGAAAGGUGGGGACCUCUAUCUGGGCUUUUGGUAUGUGACCUGAGACCCUGUGGCCCCUAGAGCAAGGUUCUCUGAAUUGUACCUUAUGGGUAUCUUGAGUACUGACCUGUACUGUAGGAUGCUUGGCAGCUUCUUUGGGCUCUGACCAUUAAAAUCUCCGAGUGACAACCAAAAGGAUCUCCAGAUAUUACCUUAGGUCCUCCUAUUGGGGAUGAGGGAGGUUUGAUCCACUUGAGAACCAAUUAUCCAAUGAAUACACUCAUAUACACAUACAGUACUCUCUUAGUUAUUAACUCCCCAGUCCCUCCUCCUCAAUCCUUGACAACCACUAAUCUACUGCAAAUCUCUACAGGCUUGCUUUUCCGACAUUUCAUAUCCGUGGAAUCACACUGAGCGUGGCCCUUUCUUUGCACCCCGUCCUUCGGUUGGCCCAGUGUCACGGACCUCGUGCUGUGGCAUGUUUUAGCAUUCUGCUCCUUUUCAAUGGAGCGAAUAAUCUCUUGUGUGCUUAGACCAGUGGGCUUACUCUGCUCACUUCCACGACUCUUCAAAACGUCACUAAUGACCUCUAAUGUGCCAAAUCCACAUGAUUAAUUUCCAGUCCCUGUACCACAGCACUGUCAGGGGCUUUUUAAACUGUUACCUCAAAACAAUUUCCAUGCAGCUCCCAGGCCUUGCUCACCAAUCGAGGGGUUUCUGCCGCUUUGCUACUGUGGAUGCCAUUCCCAGGAGCAGCACUGUGAGUCUGUUACGUGCACGAAACUUUCCAUUCCGGAGCACUGAGACCAGAACAGUGCCAAGGGGCCGACUCUGAGCCUGACUCAGAGGAAC